rnacentral:rRNA from 1 species
GGGUACUCGAGUGGCGAACGGGUGAGUAACACGUGGGUGAUCUGCCCUGCACUUCGGGAUAAGCCUGGGAAACUGGGUCUAAUACCGGAUAGGACGAUGGUUUGGAUGCCAUUGUGGAAAGUUUUUUCGGUGUAGGAUGAGCCCGCGGCCUAUCAGCUUGUUGGUGGGGUAAUGGCCUACCAAGGCGGCGACGGGUAGCCGGACUGAGAGGUUGGUCGGCCACAUUGGGACUGAGAUACGGCCCAG